AUGCCAGAGGAGCCAGGCAGGCAGGCUCUGGAGGUCAGUGAAGCCGGCGAGGGCCGCCCACUGCGUUGGCUCGGAGCUCACCGUGCCCUCUGGUCUGUCCCACAGGACUCGCAGUGCUGUGCUCGGCCUCGUCGGACCGCGGAGGCCACCGCCCUCUUCCCACCUCGGCCUCCUCUUCCUGACGCCCUUGGCAUCCUCGAGUCCUGGUUGUCCGCAGAGGCCCCAGCAGGACAACGAGGAGGAGCCGGUUGGCGUCAGACCAAUGCUGUGAGGGGGGUGAGGAGGAGAGCCGCUGUCCAUCACCCAGCUGCCAGACCUAGAAAGCAGGAUGGAACUGGAGUGAGGCAAAGGGCUGAGCGCUGCUGACCAGACGUGGGACGCUGGUGGUUCGCGGGUCACUGAGGUAGGUGUGCAGCUGGGCUGGCGGGGGAGCGUCUGCCUUCGGCUCAGGGCAUGAUCCCAGGUUCCUGGGAUCGAGUCCCGCAUCGGGCUCCCCGCAUGGAGCCUGCUUCUCCCUCUGCCUGUCUCUGCCUCUCUCUGUGUCUCAUGAAUAAAUACAUAAAAUCUUAAAAAAAAAAAAAAAAA
rnacentral:lncRNA from 1 species